rnacentral:lncRNA from 1 species
AAGUUUCAAAACAUUUCAAAGAGACCCUGACGGUCACUUAACCCCUGAUGGCGUCCGCUUGCCAUUACAAUGGACAAAAAUGCCCCUCUCUAUUGGAGACUAAAAAUUUUCUCCUCUCUAGAGGGAGGAGAACAACACGAGGAUGGUGGCUUCGGUCGGAGCCGCUAUUGAAGCAGUGGGGAAGGCGGCGGCGAGGCCAUCGGGGAAGAUGGCUAUGGACUUCGUGAUGGGCGGCUUCGCGAUGGUGGUGGCGAAAAGCAGGGCAGCCAUUGAUGUCUUGGAAAAAUCUUGUGGGCAAGCCAGAGUGCCUUCCAUGGUGAUGGUUGUCUCCUUGGUCAUGAAUUGGAGAUUGUCCGAACUCAGCUCUUGAUUUCCACACCUCUCUCUAUGUAUGUCUUGCUCUAUCUUUCUCUAGAGGCAUUGAUGAUGAAGCUCUUGUAGAUUCCUCCAGUAUUUUUCUUUUGUGACUAUUGUGAGACUCCCCUGACAACCUCUACUACCAUUUGUGGACAAAUAAUGUAGAAGUGGGAUGAUGGUACGAAGGUGAAUUUGAGCCUCUCGCCACUUGUUUGUGUCUUUUUUAUGUUCUGAGAUAGGUACCUUGUUCAUCAUUUUGAUCUUUAUUCCUAAAAUAAUACUUUUUUAUGAUAUUUGUGUUUUGAAAUCUUGCAAA